CUGUAUCUCGAUGGCUCGAUCUCACAUCCGUUGCGUCAUCUCCUCCUCUCGUCUCCAUCGAGCCGCCGCCGCCUUGCUCGCCCCUCGAUCUGCUACGCUCGCCGCCACGCGCGCACCCAUCUCCUCCGCCCGCGAUCACGCGCCGGCGCCUCCUCGCUGGUCUAUCAGAUGCGCUCACCACCACGUGUGGCCGCUGCCUCGCUGAUCUAUCUCCUGCGCUCGCUGCCACGCGUCGCCGCCGCCUCGCUUGCCGCCCCGCGACGUCGCCUUGGUCGCCCGUCUCCGUCUGCUCGCCGUAAUGCGCCGCCGCUGUCUCGCUCGACAAUCUCCUGUACUUGAUUUUGAAGUGCUGGAUCGCACUCCUCCUCUCAUCGCCUAGGCCGCCCCAGGGAUUGUGGUCGCUGAGGCCACUGCCGCGCAGGGAGAGACAGGUUGUCUCGAGGCUUGAUGCUCAUGGAUCUGCGCACUACUUCCUCUCCCGUCCCUGAGCAACAACGCCUGUCGUCGCCCACGAAUCCGCUAAAUCUGGAAAUUAAAGAAGGAAGAACUGCGUCUAUAUCAGAGUUAUAUUGUGUUGUCCUUACCAACAGAAGAUGAGAGCAUGUAGAUGCAUUCUGCAGGAAAGAUGGUUAUUUCACAAACUCAGUAGUAAGAAUGAAGAUUCACAAACUGGAAAUGACAAGCCAGCCAAGAGGAGGAGGAUUUCCAAUACAACUACAAGGAAAUCAAGUUCAAAAAAAAGUCUCACAAGCUAAUGCCAAGGUUUAGAAUUCACAAGUUGCAGCUAUGUAAUUGAGUGACAGUGAAAUAUUUCUUGUUGUCUAAGCGAUCUGAUAUUCAUAUGUAAAACUAUGUGUUCACUUGUUGAUCAUGGCAAGUUGUAGUGAGCAUUUCUGGUAGUUUAUAACUGUUUACAGUACAAUUGUGGAUCAUAAUGUACUGCUGGGACACACCAUUUGAAUACUACUAUAUGUGAUAUUUUGGGGGCAGGCUA